GAUGAACGCUGGCGGCGUGCCUAAUACAUGCAAGUCGAGCGAACGGACGAGGAGCUUGCUUCUCUGAUGUUAGCGGCGGACGGGUGAGUAACACGUGGAUAACCUACCUAUAAUACUGGGAUAACUUCGGGAAACCGGAGCUAAUACCGGAGAAUAUCUUGAACCGCAUGGUUCAAUAGUGAAAGACGGUCUUGCUGUCACUUAUAGAUGGAUCCGCGCUGCAUUAGCUAGUUGGUAAGGUAACGGCUUACCAAGGCAACGAUGCAUAGCCGACGUGAGAGGGUGAUAGCCCACACUGGAACGGAAACACGGACCAGGCGCCUACGGGAGGCAGCAGUAGGGAAUCUGACGCAAUGGGCGAAAGCCUGACGGAGCAACGCCGAGUGAGUGAUGAAGGUCUUCGGAUCGUAAAACUCUGUGAUUAGGGAAGAACAUAUGUGUAAGUAACUGUGCACAUCUUGACGGUACCUAAUCAGAAAGCCACGGCUAACUACGUG
rnacentral:rRNA from 1 species